rfam:Parcubacteria (Azambacteria) bacterium GW2011_GWB1_42_17 TV07_C0032, whole genome shotgun sequence.
UAUCUAGAGGAUUUGAUCCUGGUCCAGGACGAACGCUGGCGGCGUGGAUAAGGCAUGCAAGUCGAACGGUCCGUCUCUCGCAAGAGAGGCGGAUAGUGGCGAACGAGUUAGUAACACCUUGGUACGUACCCCGAAGUCGGGCAUAAUCCGCCGAAAGGCGGACUAAUUCCCGAUAGUUCCCGCAAGGGUAAAGAAGCAAUUCGCUUUGGGAGCGGCCUAGGUCCGAUCAGCUUGUUGGUAGGGUAACGGCCUACCAAGGCUAUGACCGGUAGGGGAGGUGAGAGCCUGACCCCCAACGACGCAACUGAGACACGGUGCGUACUCCUACGGGAGGCAGCAGUCAAGAACAUUCGACAAUGGACGAAAGUCUGAUCGAGCGACGCCGCGUGCAGGAUGACACCCUUCGGGGCGUAAACUGCUUUUUUUGGGGAGAAAGUCCGCCUUAGGCGGAUUGAUAGUACCCAUAGAAUAAGGAGCUGCAAACCUCGUGCCAGCAGCCGCGGUAAUACGAGGGCUUCAAGCGUUGUCCGGAUUUAUUGGGCGUAAAGGGCGCGUAGGGGGUUUCAUGCGUCUCUUGUUAAAUCCCGAGGCUUAACUUCGGGGCUGCAAGGGAUACGAUGAGACUAGAGGACGUUAGAGGCAAGUGGAACGCACGGUGUAGGGGUGAAAUCCGUUGAUAUCGUGCGGAACACCAAAGGCGAAGGCAUCUUGCUGGGACGUUCCUGACCCUGAGGCGCGAAAGCGUGGGUAGCGAAUGGGAUUAGAUACCCCAGUAGUCCACGCCGUAAACGAUGUUCACUGGCUGUCUCGAGUAUCGACCCUCGGGGUGGCGAAGCUAACGCGUUAAGUGAACCGCCUGGGAAGUACGGCCGCAAGGCUAAAACUCAAAGGAAUAGACGGGGACUCGCACAAGCGGUGGAGCAUGUGGUUUAAUUCGAUGGUGCACGAGUAACCUUACCAGGGCUUGAAAUCCCGAUGACGACUUUUCGAAAGGAAAGUUUUCUUCAAGGACAUCGGGACAGGUGCUGCAUGGUUGCCGUCAGCAUGUGCCGUGAGGCGCUCCCUUAAAUGGGGUAACAUGCGCAACCCCUGCCUUGAGUUACAAGUGUCUCAAGGGACUGCCGUCUUAUAGGCGGAGGAAGGCGGGGAUGACGUCAAAUCAGCAUGGCCCUUUGAUGCCCUGGGCGACACACAUACUACAAUGGCUACUAUAACGGGCCGCGAAGUCGCAAGACGGAGCUAAUCUCUUAAAAGUAGCCCCAGUUCGGAUUGGGGUCUGCAACUCGACCCCAUGAAGUUGGAAUCGCUAGUAAUCGCGGAUCAUCAUGCCGCGGUGAAUACGUUCUCGAGUCCUGUACUCACAAGAAUCGCGACUGGCAGCUUAAUAUUCUAAGUGGUUGAAAUCCGCUUCUCU